rnacentral:rRNA from 1 species
UGGGGAAUAUUGGACAAUGGGCGCAAGCCUGAUCCAGCCAUGCCGCGUGAGUGAUGAAGGCCCUAGGGUUGUAAAGCUCUUUCACCGGUGAAGAUAAUGACGGUAACCGGAGAAGAAGCCCCGGCUAACUUCGUUCCAGCAGCCGCGGUAAUACGAAGGGGGCUAGCGUUGUUCAGAUUUACUGGGCGUAAAGCGCACGUAGGCGGACUAUUAAGUCAGGGGUGAAAUCCCGGGGCUCAACCCCGGAACUGCCUUUGAUACUGGUAGUCUUGAGUUCGAGAGAGGUGAGUGGAAUUCCGAGUGUAGAGGUGAAAUUCGUAGAUAUUCGGAGGAACACCAGUGGCGAAGGCGGCUCACUGGCUCGAUACUGACGCUGAGGUGCGAAAGCGUGGGGAGCAAACAGG